rnacentral:ncRNA from 2 species
UUUCGCUGCUAGGGGUGCAAAAUUUGCUGAGAGAGACAGUAGUCUUAACCCUUAAAACCUGAUCUAGUUCGUACUAGCGUAGGGAAGAAGUGUAAAAAUCUA